GUUUAUCUCAUCGUAACUUGUCCUAUCGUACUCUAGACAUCCGCACUUAUGGUGCAGUAAAAAAAAAAUUGAGUUUCAGUCCAGACUCUAAAGUCUUAUGAAAAAGGUGGGUGCCUUUAGCAGGGAUCAAUGUGUUCACCUGAAUCCUCUCAUCAAUAAGUUACAUGAUAGAUAUAUAUAUAUAAGGUAAAUUUAUAUAUAGCUUGAUUCACCAAGCUCAUAAAAGUCGUUUCAGGUUCAAGGGCUAAAGCUUCUCUUAGGAGAAUCCCUUUGCUACACUCUACUCCUUCAAAUCUUCUUCCAUCAAAUCAUCUUUCGGAAUCAAGCCUUCUGGAAAAAAGCUCAUCAGAAAAUUGAGUACUAAAUUCCUUACUUUGGCAUUCUUUCAAGACCAGAUGUUAGCUCAUCUGGUUUGACGGUUCAGUAUCACGUUGAGGAUCUAAGUCAUAUCCUAGUAAUUACAUUUUUAUUUUUCGACCCCCUACCCCCUCCUUUCCCCCUCUUUUAUAUUAGUGAAAAUUCCAUAUU